rnacentral:lncRNA from 1 species
GUAUUACACAGAAAAAUGAUUUGAACAAAAUAAUUUCCCCUCUAACACUGGUACAAUGCUCACUUGGAGAGAAGGAAGGGAGAUAUGUUGCGCUGCAGUCACUCUCACUUUGGAUCUGGUGUUUUGGUAAAGUGUGAGUGUGGUGAGAAAGAGAGAGGUGGGAAAUUGGCCACAGAUGUGACAGGUGAGGCAGGGUUACACAAGAAUUCACAAGAGUUACAAGAGUUCACAGGAGUACACAAGGGUUACACAAGAGGAGUCUCUCCUCCUCGACUCGGAAGAUAUGGAAAGGUGGAACUUGCUGGCUGGGGAGUCCUGGCUGGGCCAGGAACACUCCUGGUGGGUGAAGGUCUGUGGCUGCCCAGGAGCUGUUGUAACACGGGAUGCUCCCCACAGACACCAGGGUCAGUUCUGCCAGGACAAUCUGCUAAAAGAGCUGUGACCACUGGUGAGCCCUGCGAGGGCAGCACGUGUCAGUGUUUUGGUGCUCCUACCCCACCUGCCCUCCAAACAAGUGUGCUUCAUUUUUAAUGGUGCCUGCCUCUGAAACCAGCUCUGCCUGUCACAGCUUUCCUUUCCCUGGCUAGGGGCCAGUUUCCAUCACUGAGGUAUGGAACACCUUUCCAAAACCACUGGAAACACCUGAGUGUUACAGGAGCUCUUCCCGCUCUGUCUGAUUCUUUGCAAACCGUUACCAAACCCUCAGUGGUAUUGAUGUUGACAAUAGAGAUGCGGGUUUCCAUGCAGGGUGUUUGCCGAGGCCUGUCUCCCCUUUCCCCCUCGGACCAUCCCUGCCGAGUUGGGCAGCAGCGCAAAGGGGCUCGGAGAUGGUCUGGGCGGAGUGUCCAGCGGGUAUCGGAGGCGACCCGGCCGGCCGACACUCAGUGGCACUUUCAGACUUGCUGGCCCAGCUGAGGGACCCCUCAGGUGACACUGGCACAGCGGCAGGACGCCAGUCAUCACCCCUGGAGACCAGCAGCGGCUCUCUGGGCGCUCCCUGCCCUGGCAGUGCCGCUCCCCUGGCCCGGGCAGGGUGUGCUGCAGGAGCUGCGGCAGUGCGGGAACAACCGCCGUGCCCAGGGCUGCUCCUCAGCCCUGCCCAGGGGUCCCUUGGCCCGUGCCCAGGGCUGCUCCUCAGCCCUGCCCAGGGUCCCUUGGCCCGUGCCCAGGGCUGCUCCUCAGCCCUGCCCAGGGUCCCUUGGCCCGUGCCCAGGGCUGCUCCUCAGCCCUGCCCAGGGUCCCUUGGCCCGUGCCCAGGGCUGCCUUCAGCCCUGCCCAGGGUCCCUUGGCCUGUGCCCAGGGCUGCUCCUCAGCCCUGCCCAGGGGUCCCUUGGCCCGUGCCCAGCCACACCAGCAGUGACGGGCCACCUUGGCCAGCUCAGCGGCCCCUGCCCCAGCCGGAGCAUUGGGAGCAGGGCAGGGUCCAGCCCCGCUCCGUGUCUGGGCACCCACCGACAGUGAUGGGAACAGAAGGGCACAGCCCAAACCCCAAAGCGUCCUCAUCCCUGCGAUGCAGGAGGGCAGUGCUGCCUCCUGCCUCAUCACCCUCUGGCUGCUCAUUGUGUCUGGGUGAGCAGCAGUGCCCAAAGGCACCAGGCAGUUUGUCACCUGUGCUCGAGAGGGGCCUUCAGCCCUUGGGAAAAACACGGAUAAACUGCUGAAACUCAAUGGCCGAGCCUGGCUCUAGCUUAUCCUCAUGUGAAACCAGCACACACUGACAGGGAGCACUGCAAACCUGGGCAGAAACAAGCUGGCCACAUUCCAGAUCAUAAUUGGUCACAUUUAGAAAAGGUCACAUUUAUAUUUUUAAAAUGUGUUUACUUUGUUUGUAUUUAUUUUGUUCCUUUUAAAAUUGUCGUUGUUUUUCCCAGCCCCUUUGUAUUUUGUGUUCUGAGACCGACACUGACACUUUCAUGACAAAGUUUCAGGACAAAUUCUCCUUCAGAGCUGUCAGAUGCCUGCAAAUGCCAGGCUGAAAUCAGUACAGGUACUCUGCACAGACACAUCUCUGCAAUACAGCCCUUUAUUUCACAAUGCCCAUCUCACCAGUACCAAUGGAAACAUCAGGUUGGUACCUCAUGUUAAAUUUAUCAGAUCUUAAAUUCAUUAGAUGUAGAAUUCAUCAAAUCACUACAGAUGGUCUCAAAACACCAGAGACACCGGGCCAAUUAGCAGAUUAAAGGUGUCCAUGUUGGAUACAUCUGUACUGUUUUAAACAGAAAAAAAAAAAAAAAAAGGAAAUAAUUUGGGAUACCUUUACUUCUUUUAGCUGAAACCUAGGGGCCUAGGUCUCAUCUUCCAGUUAUUAGUUAUUUUAAAUUUUCUUUUUUUUUUUUUUUUUUGCAAUGCAGACCAUGAUCCAGCAGAACACUUCAGAACAUGCUUUAUUUUAAGAUUCUGGAUAAUUGCUGUGAAGUUGUAAUUUGGGACAUAGGAGUGCCCUUUUGAAUUAAGAUCCAAACUUUUACUCCCAAACAUAUACACAGUAUCCAGCAUCAGAAUUUGGUGAAUUGAGUUAAUAAGGAGGAAAUUCAUCUUUUGAAGUGUUUUGUGACAUUUCAUGCAAAGUUCUGCACUGACAAUGACUCAACCACAUAUUUUGCAGCUGUUCAUAGAGAACCUCCAUGCCUGAGGGACAGAUCCGGGCUGGGGCAGACCAGAAACACCCAGAUCAUCUGCAGAGAGGUUCAAUGCACAAAACUUCCUCUUUCCCUUCCCACGGAGCCUGGAGAGGUCUGUUCCAAGACACAUUUACAAACUCUCCAUCCUUGGCCAGAGACCAACUCUAGUGUUGAUGACGGAGAAAUAAAUAAAUAGAUUUGGUGUCCCUGUGGUGAAGAAAAUCUCUUCUUGGUGGCACAGAA